CCAUAUCGAGUCGACGUCUGUGUUGAUUUGACUGCGUUGUUCUUGCCUCGCCGCUUACAACAGAGUUUUCCCCUGCGUGUGCCUGCGUGCGCGGCAAGCCUCUUCUGACCUGACGUUAUUCGUCUAAUUAUUUAUCUCCGAAGAAAAAGCUGGCUGCAGCGAGUGCAUAUCGUUGCCUUCCGACAAGUGGUUGCUUGAUCCUCGCAUUCCCGACGAAGUGUGUUUCUUCGGCAAACCUUCGAGUACUACAGUGCGAGCCUGACUUACUACCCGAGUUCACUAUGAGUGCGCCGUUUUUAUUGUUUCGCUGUCUUUCGAGGCCAGUGGAAGUAGGCGCGUUUACCACCUGCACCGCUUUGGCCCUGGACUCAGCGGCACGCAAGUAUACACCGGCGUUUAGCUUUUGCGACGACUCUUCCUUCCGUCGCGUUAAGCAUGCGUCCCGAGCUGCCCUCUGCGGCAUUUGCGGUUCAUUUCCUCCGAAAAGUUUAGUUUCUAGACUUGUAUAACGGCGCAUUUGACUGCGUUAGAGUGCUUUGUUUAGUUUUGCUGUAAGCCACAGCAGACCGCGCGCCGGGCGCUUUUUUUUUUUUUUUUCGUCUCAUUUCGUGCUGUAUUUGAAAACGAAGUAAUCAGGAGCUUACAACGUGCACCUGCCCUGUCCCAUUACCGCGGCAGUCGCUUUAGGCUUGUAUGCGUGCAUUUUGAAAAGAGCGCCUAUCGUGCGUUGCUAGUAGCGCGUCGUGGUCGCGUCGUUGCUUUGGCCAUUGCUUUGGCACGAAUGCCAGACUGGGAAUUAACGUUGCUUCCUGCUGACGCCCCCGUCUCAGUGCUUUACGCCAAUGUUAUCAUAUAAAGAACCUAAACAAUCGUAACCUAGCAGUUUGCGUUUCAACGUAGCUAAAGUUACCCGCAUUUCAAGUUCAGCCUUCAUUUGAACCCCGUGUUUACAAUAACGUCAAAUAAAUCCUGCAUGACAGCUGAUUGACGGAUUUUAGUAACGCUACGUUUGCGUAAUUUAAUGUAGGUAUUGCCCAAUACCAAAGGAACCACGUCUAGCAUGAAUAUUAGUUUAUGGCUUUCGGGUCUGCACGUCAUAAUAGCAGUGCCCGCACUAUUUGCCCGAAUUUAAUAUGAAUUUGAUUCAUUUGCCACAACUUUUCAUUCUGCCUGCAACUGCCUCUUCUGUUUACUGCCCUAAAGCUGUAAACUGAAACAAUGUUUGUCGGGAAGUAGGGCCUUUGCAUAACCUAGCAUGCUGACGCACAUUGCUUGCUUUUAUUUUUACAACCCGACUGACUUUUGCUUUGUUUUGUGGUGCCUAACGAGCCUUGAGCACAUGCCGAAGUGCCUUGUUGAAUCCACUGAGCUAAAGCAUCAGGGCAAGACUGAACAAACAGACAUUUUGGCAUCUGAUAUAAUCAAAAGUUUCGAAACACUGUUCUGCAUCAUUUUGGAUGCUGACUGAAUGUUGUUUGCAGGUUUAGAUGGCUGUUAGAAAGAGCUGCUACCUGAGACCAUCUCAAUUUCAUGGAAUGUGUCGUACAUCUUGCCACUGCUCUAAGCCAUAAGUGGAAUAAUAAGUAUGCCCAAUUGCUUUUUGUAACAGAGCCUAACUGAAAUGCCUUUGCAGCUUUGGCAUGAUGCUCUCUCCAUGACAAAUACGAUGAUUACAAAGCAGUUUCUCCUGUGACUGACUGACUUGAGGUGUCCCACACCUUUUAUCAUUUCUGUCUGACCUAAGCAUAAAUGUCCAGCUGAACAUUUUUUUUAUCUGUAGUGAGGUCUACUGUAGUGUUUUUGUUUGCUCUUGGUGUGUUGAUGCAUUUUAUGUUGCUUUAAUGACUGUUUUUCAAUCCCUGUAUAUGUGCAACAUUAUUCACUCAGAGAGACUUGUCACAGUAGUUUCUGAACAUAUUUAACAUCUUUUGAAGUUACACUGUAGCCUUAGCAUAAAAGUUAUAUAAUACAAGUUUUUAGUACAAUUUGUUGCUGGGCUACUUGGUACAUGUUGCUCUGAGUAAAUAAAGCACAUCACAACAGAAGAAGCGGGCAGAAAAACGUGGUGGCGGUCCUUUUGACGCUUGCUCUAAGUUGCAGGCCCUCUCUACUUAGGCAAGAAGUAACGGUAGUUUUAAUUUCUAGCCAAACAGUUGAAGCACAGUGCAGUUUGUGCGAUGAUUGGGAAGUUGCACUGUGCAAAUUUAAGUGGGUGUGUUUUUUCUAUGAGUCACAAAAACUGAGAGAAAUACUGUGUGUCUUAUAAGGAGAACAAGAUUGAACGUUAUGCUGCAUUCAUAAAUUACCUUUUUUUUCAAUAACGAACGUUAUUUAUGCUACGAGCAGAGUAAACGAAAAAAGGGAUCUAAGUUUUAAGUGUGGCUGCUCAUGGCUUUAGCCGCCGUCCGCUUGUGACUUGGACUGUAGUCAAAAGCGUCGGCCUAAACGAAGACUCUCCGAGUAGUGAAUUCAAACUGAUUUUUCUGAAUGAAAGGAGCCAUUGAGCUUUCAGGAAUGCUUUGAAAACUGUGACAGGCAUUACAGUUUGUGGACGCCAUUGCCUAAGCACCUUUUUCAGCGAGGGCAACUUUGUCCCUUAAUACGGUACGAUUAAUGAACAUUUCUGCAUCAAAUGAUUGCAGAUCAGUGCCCUGAAAAAAUUCCCGUGCUAAGCCAAGUUUACGGUGCGUGUGACUCUUGGUUAGUAGUGACGUGGAACCCUCUUUCGAUUUGAGCCAAGGAAAGUCUGCCUGAAACACUUGCAAGCUUCGAUACAAGUUGACAUGAAAAAGUGGACACUGCAUGUACUGCGUACAUGUGUUCAGAGUUGCCUAAUUUGUUCGUCGACAUUUCUGCAUCCGUGCUCGUGCCGCCAGACUUUGCCUCAUGUGGACAUUGUGAUCUGCUGUGUGGACAUCCUAGAGUGUCAGCUUUGUGAUACUGCACAAGGGCUUUUCACGACUGAGCUCAACCUUUCUUGAGCAAAUUCACCCUCUGGUUUGCUAUGAAACAAAGUUUUGCAAGCUGGCUUGCAUUUAUGCAAUUUACAUAGCAGUAAGGCAUCGCAUUACUGCACCUUCUCUCACAUGUGGGGUGCUAUUUUUCGGCUGCUGAUGUGAGCCGUCAGAGAAGCCUCUACUCUUCUUCACAUUGUUUUUUAUGUAUAUAAAAAACUGUGCGGAAGUGAAUUGGUCAUUUGUUGUAAUGGGAAAAGCUUCGUUAAUGGUUGGGGCACUGUGAUGUUUUGCAUAGGCACCUUACUUGCGAUCGAGCCAUACCGGGAUAUAUUUUAUCACUUACAUUUAACAUGUUCUGGAGACUUGUGAACUUAACGUUAAUCACAAAAAAAAAGUGCACCAGCUGGGCUGAGUCAUGUUGCUUUUGGGACACCAGUAUUGUUGCCGUAACAUUUCAUUAUACCAAAGAUAAAGCUGGUAAAAUUACCUUUGUGCCAACAUCUAGUGCUCAGUUUACAUGCCACUGGUCCGAAUAUAAUUGAUUAAUAAAAGUGCCUGGGUGUGAAUGAGUUAUCAUAUAUCAGAGCAGCCAAGUUGGUUUAUUGUAGUGCUGUGUUGCACGCAUCUUGGUAUUUGAGAACCAGCAAUUACAGAGACGCAAUCUUGUCGUUAUGCUGCCAUGUAUAAAAUGUGUUGACAGUCACAUUUGUCAUGUGUAAUUUGUCAGUUUCUUUUUGUCAUUGCUCAAUGACCUUAGCUUCUUCUGCUAGCUUCCCUUCUCACAGUUUACAUGCCACUAAAUAUUUGCAGAAUGAAGUGGAAGGCAAAAUGAAUAGAGAAGUGCGGCUCAUUUUGCGGAGCUUUGCUUCACAUUUUUUUAUUGAAUAGGGAUGUCUCUGAUGAUGAGGUGAUCUUGAGUUCGCCAUCCUUGUGCAUGAUCUUGUAUAGGUUCUACAAAUGAGCGAACACUUUUGCCAUAUGUGAAUGGUCAAGGCGCAUACGAAAAUAGCGAAUGAGGGACCUGCGUGCAAGCCUUGGCAAAUCAUGUGUGGCAAAAAUGUUCAUUGGUUUAUAGAUCAGGCACAUGAUUGAGUCUUUGGAUAGUUGGUAGGGUACUGUAGCAUGGCUUCACUUCUGUGGCAGUUCACUUCAUUGAUCUUUAUUCUACUGUUUCACUCUGUCAUUCAGUUGGUAUGCUGGCAUGCCGUUCGAAAGGUCCUGCACUGUGGCUUUAGCUGCAAAGGGCACCAUAACCGGAGGUCUUGAGUUAACUUUUCAGUGAACACUGAUGUGGAGGACAUGAAAAUUUUUCUCAUAAAAACAUGACCCAUGUUAAUGUGCAACUGUGUGUAACUAAUCAUGUAAAUGCUACAUGGUUAGUAAACAGCCUGCUCCUAAAGUUAAUGGUACUCGUGACGCCAAUGUUCAGAAGGACAGCUUCCAUCUGCAGCCACUGUCUCGAUUGGCACUGGCCGACUGUGGUUAGGUCUUGUACACAUACAUAGAUGCCCAAAAAUGUGGACAUGGGAAUAGUCUUCGAGGCAGCAUGAUCUUGUAGUUCAGUGGAUAUCUAAUGCAGAUGUAGGUGUGGCUGUCACAGUCUGCAGGUUUUUUUUUUUCCUUCGGUUUCAUUUCAUUUAUCUUGUCAUUUCUACAUUUUAAUUCUUCAAAUAAUUUUUCCUAUGCUCUCAUUGGCUUCAUUAUUCUUGUCGCUUGGCUCUCACCUGCAGCCACUGAGCAUCUAAAAUAGAAAAAAAAAUGGUAGUUUGAUGCACAUUGGUUCAUCUUAGCGACUUGUAGUGGGUGCUCCAAGUUGCUUAUGCUGGCAUUGUAGUGUCGGGACAAGGCUGAAGCCAUUUAUCUUGUACCUGAGCAUAUUGUGGGUUCCAUGUUUACUCCACAUUUUAUGAGCUUUGUCUGGAUUCAGGCUAUAAUUGACUCAGAAGUAGCUUUCUUUUUUCCUUUUUCUGGCACUUUGUACCAACUAUCAUUGCCAUCUGGGUUUCAGUUGAAAGGGCACACCCCCUUUUCACUUUUCCGCUACAGCACUGAUAAUUUCACCUAUUGGUUGGCUCAAAAUCAAUUGGUAAAAAAAGUAGUGGGUGUUUUUCUAUUGACUACUUGAGCAUGUGCGAGAAGAUUGCUUUCUAAUUGAUACAGCUUUACAAAAAAUGUGCGGCAAUAGAAAAUUGUGGCAUCAUGCAAUGGAAGUGAAAUGGUUCAUAUCUGAUCAAAAACUUGAUCUACUCAAGAAGUGAUCACAUUUUCGUAAUCAUGGUUCAAGAAAACUUCAAAAUUUCAGGUUUGGGUGAUAUUUUUUUUUUUGACAGUAUGAACAUGUUCUAAUACCACCUUCCCUUGUUGCAUUUCUUGUAGCUUUAUCAGACACUAGUUGAACGCAGACUUGCAAAUAUUUUUACAUGUUCAGGGAAAAGUUUCUGGACUGCUACAUUGUUUGAUGGCUUGUUGAAGUUGACAAAUUGAAAGCAAGGUUGCACAAUUUGCAGUCGCUGUCAUGAGAAUUUGGACCUGCUGUUCAGCUAUUAUUUCUGCCAGGUCUGUGAUGUGAAAUUAAACGAUUCCUGGUUGCUAUAUUCUACGAGUGAUACUUGAACCUUCUUUCUAUCUUUUGCUCCUUCUCUGUGCCCUGGCCAUGUUAUGUUACUGACUACUCAACUGUUAUGCUUCCACUAAAUUCGAAAGUAAGACUAAACCUUAAGCUGUCUUGAUAAAAUGGUGCUCUUCAUUCUGAUUAUUCAGAAGUUGCCUUGCUCCUUUGCUUAUUCAUAGAAAGUUUUAAUGUUUAAAAACAGCAGUAUUUUUUGCAAUGAUUGUUUAUAUUUCUUUUGAUGAUAGUGGUCAAGCAAGGUAUGUCUGAAGCUGCCAGUGUUUCGACAAAACGGUG
rnacentral:lncRNA from 1 species